rnacentral:lncRNA from 1 species
UCCACCAGUGACACCUAACAGUAUGUAAGGGCAACUAGUAGAACUGAAAUAAACCUCUAGGUGUAGUUAAUAUGUGAUUUAGUCCCUCUAUCAUGAGUCCUGACUAGAUGGUAAGUUAUGGAUAAGUCGUCAAAUCUCAACAUCAGUCAUAUGAUAGAUUGAUUAGCUCAAAUCCAGUUGUGACUUCUAUGAAAAUUUUUUUCCAUCAAUCAUACUACUUUGGCCACAGACUCUUAAACUUAGCCUCUCAAAUUUCAUAGGACUACUCCUCUCUAUCA